AUUGAACGCUGGCGGCAGGCUUAACACAUGCAAGUCGAACGAGUGGCGGACGGGUGAGUGUUGCUUGGAAAUCUGGCUCAUUGAGGGGGAUAACGACCGGAAACUGUCGCUAUUAACGCCUACCCUGGGAUGAGCCGAAGUGGGAUUAGGUAGUUGGUGGGGUAAUGGCCGACCAAGCCGACUAUCGCUGGCUGGUCUGAGAGGAUGACAAGCCACACCGGUACGGAGACACGGCCCGGACGCCUACGGUAGGCAGAAGUGGGGAAUAUUGCGCAAUGGGGGAAACCUGACGCAGCCAUGCAGCGUGAAUGAAGAAGGCCUUCGGGUUGUAAAGCUCUUUCGGUGACGAGGCGUUAAUCACAGAAGAAGCAACGGCUAACUCCGUGCCAGCAGCCGCGGUAAUAC
rnacentral:rRNA from 1 species